ACCUCACACAGGUGUGGGACUCCUCACACACCUGUGUGGAGUGUGUAGUGUAUAGUGUGUAGCACACACUGUGCACUACACACUAUACACUACACACUAUACACUACACACUAUACACUAUACACUACAGAAAGUGUUAGACGAGUCACGCUAAAAAACGUGUUUAUUAUAAUUGUUGGAUGCAUUCGGGAUAACGUCAGCGAACAACUCUACAAAACAUGUUGCAUCAUCCCACACAUUUUUUUUAUUGAAGGAUUUUUAUAAAUCCUUUUUUACUGAACAUAUUUGAUUGCGGAGAUGUGACAAAUCAGUCCUUUAACAGAUCUGUAUUCCAGGAACACUUCCAAGGUCUCAGGCAACAUCUCAGUCAGGAAGUCAACACAUCUGUUCUUCUUCUCUGUUUUUGGUUAGAUUGUGUCGUAUGUUCUUCUUCUCUGUUUUUGGUUAGAUUGUGUCGUCUGUUCUUCUUCUCUGGUUUUGGUUGGAUUGUGUCGUCUGUUCUUCUUCUCUGGUUUUGAUUGGAUUGUGUCGUCUUGUUCUUCUCUG
ensembl:lncRNA